rnacentral:rRNA from 1 species
GAUGAACGCUAGCGGAAGGCCUAAUACAUGCAAGUCGAACGGGCAUAUUGAUUUCGGUUAAUAUGUUAGUGGCGCACGGGUGAGUAACGCGUACACAACCUACCUUAUAUUGGGGGAUAGCCCAGGGAAACUUGGAGUAAUACCGCAUAAGCCCGCAAGGGGAAAGAUUUAUCGCCUUUAGAUGGGCCCGCGUCUGAUUAGCUAGUUGGUGAGGUAAUGGCUCACCAAGGCGACGAUCAGUAGCUGGUUUGAGAGAAUGACCAGCCACACUGGGACUGAGACACGGCCCAGACUCCUACGGGAGGCAGCAGUGGGGAAUUUUGGACAAUGGGCGCAAGCCUGAUCCAGCCAUGCCGCGUGCGGGACGAAGGCCUUCGGGUUGUAACCGCUUUCAGCCGGAAGAAUACGCCGUUUUAAUACUAGACGGUGGAUGACGGUACCGGAAGAAGAAGCACCGGCUAACUACGUGCCAGCAGCC